rnacentral:rRNA from 1 species
GAAUUGAUGCAUCGGUCGUGCCUUAAGGGGCAUGAACUGGUGUAGCCAAUUUCUCACCUUCUGGUGAAUUGUUGAUGUUCUUAAUGGGUGUCUUAAUGAACUAGAAUUUUUACUUUGAAAAAAUUAGAGUGUUUAAAGCAGGCAUUAAUUUGCUUGAAUACAUUAGCAUGGAAUAAUGAAAUAGGACAGUGGUUCCGUUUUGUUGGUUUCUAGGAUCACGUAAUGAUUAAUAGGGA